rnacentral:rRNA from 1 species
GGUCGCGCGGCUUUGCCCGUUGCUGCGAUGAUUCAUGAAACUCGACGGAUCGCACGGCCCUUGUGCGGCGACGCAUCAUUCAAAUUUCUGCCCUAUCAACUUUCGAUGCGGAUAGUGGCCUACUAUGGUGGUGACGGGUGACGGAGAAUUAGGGUUCGAUUCCGGAGAGGAGCCUGAGAAACGGCUACCACAUCCAAGGAAGGCAGCAGGCGCGCAUUACCCAAUCCUGACACGGGGAGUAGUGACAUAAUACAAUACCGGGCUCAUACGAGUCUGGUAAUUGGAAUGAGUACAAUCUAAAUCCCUUACAGGAUCAUUGGAUGGCAAGUCUGGUGCCAGCAGCCGCGUUAAUUCCAGCUCCAAUAGCGUAUAUUUAAGUUGUUGCAGUUAAAAAGCUCGUAGUUGGGAUUUGGGUUGGGUCGCCGGUCCGCCAUCAGGUGUGCACCGGUUUACUCGUCCUCUUCGGCGAUCGCCUCCUACCCUUUAACUGGGCGGGUCGUUGCCUCCGGCGUUGUUACUUGAGAACUUAGAGUGCUCAAAAGCAAGCCUACGCUCUGUAUCAUAGCAUGGGUAAAAUCAUAGGAUUUCGGUUAACGUAUGGCCUUCGGGUCGGGAUCUGAUUAACGGGACAGUCGGGGCUUCGUAUUUCAUAGUCAGAGGUGAAUUCUUGGAUUUAUGAAAGACGAACAACUGCGAAGCAUUUGCCAAGGAUGUUUUCAUUAUCAAGAACGAAAGUUGGGGGCUCGAAGACGAUCAGAUUACCGUCCUAGUCUCACCAUAAACGAUGCCCGACAGGAUCAGGGAUGCUGCUUUUAGACUUCGCGGACUUAUGAGAAUCAGUUUUGGGUUCCGGGGGAGUUGGUGCAGGCUGAACACUUAUAAAGGAAUUGCGAAGGGCACCACAGGCGUUGAGCCUGCGGCCUUAUUGACUUCCACGGGAAAUUCACCAGUCCAGCAUAGUAAGGUUGACAGACUGGAGCUUUUUUUUUCUUGAUAUUAUGGGUAGGUGGUGCUGGCCUUCUUAGUUGGUGAGCAUUUGUCUGGUUUAAUUCCGUUAACGAACGAGCCCUCAGCCUGCUAACUAAGC